UGUAAUGGGGGUGGUCGGUACGUGUCUUAUCAAUGGUCUUUACUGUCAUGGGCCUGUUCAAGGUCUACCACCUACCCGUCCACCCCCAUUGCAGUCGACUUUCUGUACAUUGUGCUGUUUGGACAACGGCAUUAUCAGUCCGUGUCCAACGUCGCAGCACCUAAAGUGACAGCAAAUAUUAUGUCAUGUCAUUUAGCGUGAACACUGACGAAACAAGGACAUAGUGCUCUAUAUAAAUGGUCAGAGUAGUAUUUCAUGCCAGUGAGCAGCCAUCGAACGAACUCCUACCGCUAUGGUCUCUCUGAUACGUAGCUGGUUGACGCCUAUUAUUCUUCUAGCUGCUUUGUGUAGCGCCUUCGGAACCCUGCCGAAGAAUGGCAACCAAACAAGACGUGUGACACGGGAAACCUACGUAAUUGACGAAGUAGUCAGGUACAUGACGGGUUUCCGGAGGAUGUACGCUGAAGCCUCGGUCCGCGGCGGCGAAGGCCACAUAUGGAGCGGGAAAUUCGAUCUCAGCCGUUACACGAUGGAAAUGUUUGUAAAGGCUAAACGGUACGACAGUGAUGCUUCAAAGUCACCAUCCUUGGGAUUAUUCCUCAGGGUGUGCCCCGGGGGCAACGAUGACGAACUGGCAUGGCCAUUCUCGCCUCCUUACACCCUGACGAUUCACCACCCGAAGUCGUCAGAGAAAGAUAUCUCCUACACUGUCAGAGAACUGAACGAAGAGAAUAUCUACAAGUUUACGAGACCGAGAUGGAGAUGCAAUGGGGGAUGGGGAUUUAGUGAAAUGAUGAGUAUGAGAGACGCGGAGAGAGGUGGGUAUGUAGUGUACGAUUCUGUUAAGGUUUCUGUUCGAAUGCCAUAAGAACACGGAUAAUCGCUGUCUGGUGAACGUUGUUAGACUUACGCACGAUAAGGUACACCACAGUAGAUUGUUGGUUAAUGACGAUAGAAUUUUUUGUCUGUCUUUUUUACUUCCUGUCUACACAUACCUGCGCUAGAAAUUCCACUAUUUUCGAGCUUAAUAAAAUAUGUUGCAUCGCUUCCACGAAACCCA